AGUCGAACGAAAUCUUCGGAUUUAGUGGCGGACGGGUGAGUAACGCGUGAGAAUCUGGCUUCAGGUCUGGGACAACCACUGGAAACGGUGGCUAAUACCGGAUGUGCCGAGAGGUGAAAGGUUAACUGCCUGAAGAUGAGCUCGCGUCUGAUUAGCUAGUUGGUAGAGUAAGAGCCUACCAAGGCGACGAUCAGUAGCUGGUCUGAGAGGACGAUCAGCCACACUGGGACUGAGACACGGCCCAGACUCCUACGGGAGGCAGCAGUGGGGAAUUUUCCGCAAUGGGCGAAAGCCUGACGGAGCAAUACCGCGUGAGGGAGGAAGGCUCUUGGGUCGUAAACCUCUUUUCUCAGGGAAGAACACAAUGACGGUACCUGAGGAAUAAGCAUCGGCUAACUCCGUGCCAGCAGCCGCGGUAAUACGGAGGAUGCAAGCGUUAUCCGGAAUGAUUGGGCGUAAAGCGUCCGCAGGUGGCAAUGUAAGUCUGCUGUUAAAGAGUCUAGCUCAACUAGAUAAGAGCAGUGGAAACUACAUAGCUNGAGUACGUUCGGGGCAGAGGGAAUUCCUGGUGUAGCGGUGAAAUGCGUAGAGAUCAGGAAGAACACCAGUGGCGAAGGCGCUCUGCUAGGCCGUAACUGACACUGAGGGACGAAAGCUAGGGGAGCGAAUGGGAUUAGAUACCCCAGUAGUCCUAGCCGUAAACGAUGGAUACUAGGCGUGGCUUGUAUCGACCCGAGCCGUGCCGUAGCUAACGCGUUAAGUAUCCCGCCUGGGGAGUACGCCGGCAACGGUGAAACUCAAAGGAAUUGACGGGGGCCCGCACAAGCGGUGGARWWKKKGGUUUAAUUCGAUGCAACGCGAAGAACCUUACCAAGGCUUGACAUGUCGCGAAUCCUGGUGAAAGCUGGGAGUGCCUUCGGGAGCGCGAACACAGGUGGU
rnacentral:rRNA from 1 species